UUUUAUUUAUUUUUUUUAUUUUUUAUUUUUUUAAAGUUUGAGUACUGUUUCUGUUAUGGGUUUGGCUGAAUUCGUGUGUUGUUGGAUUUUUAGUAACAAAGUCUGAUUGAGUUUACUUUGAUUCUCUUUUUUCCAAUUCGGUUUUGAAAUUUUGAAUAUUAGAGAAGUGCUACUGUGAUUUGUCUGGAUGUAUUUAAGUGACUAUUUUGUGUAUUCUCUACACCAUAAUGAUGUCUUUUAGUUUACCUUUGCUAAUCUAUUGCUCAGCUUUUCUGGGCGGGGCAGACUCCUAUGAUAGCUCACUACCAUUUAGAAAAUGGUGGUGUCUCUACAUCCUCAAAUUUGGCACUCAUGUACGUCUCUCCUAUCCAGAUCAUCAGGACUGUGGGCACACUUUGGAUGGAUCAUAUCUCUAACGCCACACUGAUCAAGCAACCCUACUUGUCCAAUUGAGGGCGAAAUGAGAUGGUUUCUAUCAUAUUUUCAGUGUAGUUUUUAGGAUUAUGCUCCGCCAGCAAUUCUGGAUUGCCAUAUGGCGGUGCCAUGUGCCAUGUUGAAGUGUCACUACUCACCACCAUUUUAAGUGGUGAACUAUAUGAAUCUACCCUUCUGGGUGGUGAUGCAUGAUGCAUCUUUUUGGUUUCACUGGUGUUAAUGGUUUAGCAAAUCCACAUCUUAGUCUAAUCCGUUUAUAGAUUGUCAGAUUCUAGUUUCUUUUUUUCUUUUUUUCAAAUGUUAUUUUUGUUUUUCUUUUAAUUGUUGUUGUCAUUUUGUGGUGGAGCUUUUUCUAUUUUUGAAUUGUUGGUAGUGCUUUGAACUCGGAUACUGUUUCAUUUUCAUUUCUCUAAUAAUGUUUCUUAUCAGGUAUGAAAAUACUGUGUAUUUUCUUUUUAAUGUAAUUGUGCAUGUUUCUGAAUGGAGCUUGCACUUGUUAGUAUGAGGUGGUUUUGGUUCGGCCUCGAAAAAGGCGGGACUGGGGUUUUUUGCUUCUUUUACCAAUACAUUUUCUUUUAGCAACAUGUAUCCAAUCACCAGUGUAGUAUCUAACAUGCAUUUAAAUUUUUGGCUAGAAAAUUUUCUUCCUGCAACUUUGCACGCUGAGUAAUCGACCUCAGUCCGAGCUCUCCAGUUAGGCAGCAAUGUAGCAGUUUGUCCUCCAUGCUUGAUUAAGAAACACAUCAUUUGCAGUUUAUCUUUCAAAAGAAUAGAGCGAGCCAAAAGACUUCCUGGUGACCCAUGGGCUGAGUUAUGUCUAUUCCUAACUGAGCGGGCCAAAAGACCUCAACUAGCCCAAAGGCCUAAUGACUAGGCACAUCCAAGCCUACCAUUCUUGAUAUGUACAUCUCAUAAUCCAAGCACAUAAAAAGAGCCUGCGGCCAGCAUUGCCAUGCGAGAAGUCGUUCUGUGUGAAAGGUGGCCAAGCUCUAUUGUUUUACAGUGGAAUCUUCUUAAUGGCGUUGGGAGUGGGCGGGAUUUGAGGGGCUUCCAGCUCUAGGUGCAGAUCAGUUUAACCAGAAGGAUUCCAAGGAGCUUUUUUUUUUCUUUUUUUUUCUCGAUAGUAGGUACAUUUUUUAAAGAAAGCUUAGGGUCUUUGUCUUCUCUCUCCGAAAGCUUCUCUGAUGGGCGGGUGAAUUUGAAUUUCCUUGGAGUUUCAUUCUCUCUGUCAUUUUGGGGUACGCAAUUUUGAUUUGUGCAAAAUGUGGUUAUUGAAAGUGUCUUUCAUGCAAGCAAUGGAUAAUCUAGUGGAAAUUAUUUGCAUCGAUUUGGAGGUGGUUUGGCAGCUUGGAUUUUGGCAAUUUUGGUGCUUUUGA